rnacentral:lncRNA from 10 species
ACUCAUCAAAGGUGCACUUUAGGUAUGUGCAGUUUACCAUACACCAAUUAUACUUCAAUAAAGCUGUGCAAAAAUGUUUACUGAGGUCCUACUCCAUGUAAAGCCACAUAGAUGUGACUCGAUCACGGGAGUGGUUUCCCUCAUGCGGUUCUGAUGCUGGUGAAGGAGUUCUUACAAGAUCUGAUGGUUUUAAAAGUGGCAGUUUUUCUUGUGCUCUCUCUCCUGUCACCAUACAAAGAAGGUCCUAGCUUCCCCUUCUGCCAUGAGCCAGACAUGGUGGCCCACACCUGUAAUCCCAGCUACUGUAGAUGCUGAGGUGGGAGGAUCGCUUGAGCCCAGGAGUUAGAGUCCAGCUUGGGCAACAUUGGGAGACCUCUUCUCUUUAAAUUAAAAAAAAAAAAAAAAAAAAGCAAGCAAGAAAGAAAAAAAUAAAAAUAUUGAUUGAGGAUGCUUUUUAUAAGUGAGUAGAAUAAUACACCAAGUAUACUGUAAAGUAGAAAAUGGACAAUAAGGGGGGAAAAGUACCUACAUUUC